UACGUAGGGUGCGAGCGUUGUCCGGAAUUAUUGGGCGUAAAGGGCUCGUAGGCGGUCUGUCGCGUCGGGAGUGAAAACCCGGGGCUCAACCCCGGGCCUGCAGUCGAUACGGGCAGACUAGAGUGCGGUGGGGGAGACUGGAAUUCCUGGUGUAGCGGUGAAAUGCGCAGAUAUCAGGAGGAACACCGGUGGCGAAGGCGGGUCUCUGGGCCGUAACUGACGCUGAGGAGCGAAAGCGUGGGGAGCGAACAGG
rnacentral:rRNA from 1 species